CAGAACGAACGCUGGCGGCGCGUUUUAAGCAUGCAAGUCGAACGGUAACCAUCCUUCGGGAUGGCUAGAGUGGCGAACGGGUGAGUAACACGUAGGUGAUCUGCCCUUGAGUUGGGGAUAGCCCAUGGAAACAUGGGGUAAUACCGAAUACGCUCGCGACCCUGUGGGGAUGUGAGGAAAAGCGCUUCGGCGCUGCUCGAGGAUGAGCCUGCGGCUGAUUAGUUAGUUGGUGGGGUAACGGCCUACCAAGGCGACGAUCAGUAGCCGGCCUGAGAGGGUGAGCGGCCACACUGGGACUGAGAUACGGCCCAGACUCCUACGGGAGGCAGCAGCUAAGAAUCUUCUACAAUGGACGAAAGUCUGAUAGAGCGACGCCGCGUGGGUGAUGAAGGCCGGAAGGUUGUAAAGCCCUUUUCUAUUCGAGGAAUAAGGUGUGGAGGCAAUGCCACACUGAUGACGGUAGGGUAGGAAUAAGCCCCGGCCAAUUACGUGCCAGCAGCCGCGGUAACACGUAUGGGGCGAGCGUUGUUCGGAAUCAUUGGGCGUAAAGGGCGCGUAGGCGGAUAUGCAAGCUUGGUGUGAAAGACCGCAGCUCAACUGCGGGAGCGCGCUGAGAACUGCAUAUCUUGAGUUCAAGAGGGGAAGCUGGAAUUCCAGGUGUAGGGGUGAAAUCUGUAGAUAUCUGGAAGAACAUCAGUGGCGAAGGCGAGCUUCUGGCUUUGAACUGACGCUGAGGCGCGAAAGCGUGGGGAGCGAACAGGAUUAGAUACCCUGGUAGUCCACGCUGUAAACGAUGUGCACUAGGU
rnacentral:rRNA from 1 species